rnacentral:lncRNA from 1 species
CCCGUGAAAUGAGCGGAACAAGGGAAUAACAGUGCAAAGGCAGCUUGAAGUAAGACCAGAAUGUUUUGCUUUGUUUUUACUAUUCCCAGGAAGAUACACUAAGAGGUUGGGACAAAAAUUGGGAUGAAGCGUAAAGCAAGUGUGUCCAUCCAAGGAACCAAACCACACAAUGCGCACCACCGAGCGGCCUGUUGCACUGCCGCUUUGAUUCGGUUACUAGCAUUUCACCGUUUCCUAUGUCAACAGCAUAACGGAUAACCACUUGUUUAAGCAACCAUUAAAAAAAGAGGAGUGUGUCUUAUACAGAAUUGUGUUUGUGGAUACAACAUGAAAACCAUUGCACAUCACUGUUCUGUCCUUAAGCUGAGCCUUGUAAGAAAAUGUUGAUAUUUUGUUUAGCCGUUUAUCUUUACAUGUUGUUAACCACGUAGUAUCCAUCCAGAAAGACUUGUUCCUGGCAAAGUGUAUUGGUAAGUGGCCAGUUUCAGACUGGAGCUGACAGUAAUGGUUUCCUACCACAUAUUGUCAUAAUUGCAGAGUCGUGAAAAUGGGCUGAUAUUUAACACAAAACAAAACAAAACAAAAUCCAGUUUGGCAGACAACAUAGGUAAUUGUGUUCUGUAAGAAGUCACAUUCACUUGGGGAAGGGAGGCCAACUGGGAAGUGAAGGGUCUGAUCUGCCUAGGGAACUGGCAAGAAAGACAGUCAUAACGUGGGAGGAAGCAAAGAUUGCCUGCUGAAGAGCCUAUCUUGCUACAGCCUGCUUACUCUCCAUGAAUAUUUUUUGCCAACUUUGAUGAUUCUGGCCUGGGGAUUGGAAUGCGGAGUUGGGGGGGGUGGUUCCCACUAGAACAAGCAUAAUUUACUGGAUCGCUUGCAAAGUUUACAGGCCGGUUUUCACAUGUCAGCAGGCACUACUUCAAUCCCUAAACUUCUCAUGGCAUGGAUUCCUAGGAAAGAGGAUCUUAACUCCUACAGUUUUUCUUUCAAGCUGUAAACUCUGCAGGUCAGUAACAACUUAUUACCAAUCUUUGCCAUCCAUCUCUGACUAUUCCCCUACUCCAACAUUCCCCCAUCUCACCCCAAGCAAUGGGGAAACAUCAAACUUAAAUCAGAAGUAUUUCUUAAUAGGAAAACACUAUGAUUUAUAGCAUAAUUCUGCACUGCAGUUUUACUAUUAAAUAAGGGAUUUUAGAUUCACUGAAUUUGCACAGUGCUUAUUUUCCGAAUAUUUUUAUACCUUUUUAAUUUUCAUAAGGCCCCUCACAACAAAAACCUACUAUUUAACCUUUCCUAUAUAUUUGUCUCUAGCUUUUCUUUGGAUGGGUACCUGGUGGCAGGCCGGCCCCUGGUUUUUGUGAAUACGAGAGCAAGAGUGCAGUUGAAGAUCCUCCCCCAGGCCCCUGCCCCCUUGUCUUCCUAACCCCUGACUCAGUCUUGCACCACAAGGAGUCUUGCACAGAAAUAUGUGGAGAGUAUAGUUCAAUAUGUGGACAGUAUAGUUCAAUAUGUGGACACUAUAGUUGUUGAUAACCAAGCUCUCUCCCCAAAGCCACCUUGGUCCUGGGAAUAUGCAUCUCAAACAUGCAAAUGACCCUUGAUUGGAUGGACCUAGGGAAGAUGCCUGAUCAAGCCCUGGAAGCGAGUUAUGGGACCAACAUUUGAGCAGGAAAUUUCAUGAUCUCAGGCCUUCAGACCAGGACUGGAAUCUACACCACUGGCUCUUCAGCUCCCAGACUUUCAAACUUUGUCACCAGCUUUACUGGGUCUCCAGCUUGUACAUGACAGAUUGUGGGACUUCUCAGCCUCCACAAUUGCAUGAGUUGAUACUUUAUAAUAAAUAUCUUUAUGUAUAUCCAUCCUACUGGCUGUUUCUCUGGCAAACCCUGACUAAUAUACACUUCUUAAAGUCUAAAGUUCAUAGUGUUCAUUUAUGUAUCCAUGAAUUCAAAGGACUGUGGAAGGUGGGUUACUUCCUUUAGGUCAUUCUUCAAGAGAAAGCAAAGAUAAACAUGAAGGAAAGGAGAAUUGCUUGGGCAAAAAGCUAACAUUAAUUCUUGUUCAUAGUUUUAUUGAUGUUACUUUCCUCGUUCAAAAGACGAGUUUAAAUUUAUAUUUUAUGAUUCCUAUGCAUGCAUAAAUACAUUUUUUUUUCAAAUUGAGUCCUAAGAACACCAUCUGUGUCCUGUGGUAUUUGAGACAAGGUCUACACUUCACGGCAGGAAGCAGAAGCCACCAAGAAAAGAGACAGGGUUUAUUGGAAGUACACAGUGAUAGUUCACUGCCCACUGGGGGUCUAUUUUUUUUCUUACUAAGAAGUUCAAAGGUUGUAGGCUGGUUGAACUUCCAGGAGCCAGGCUGCUUCUUCCUCUAGCCCUGUGAUUCCUAGUAAUGCUGGCUUUGUGUCUCCAUGCUCUCCCCAUGUAGCUAGCAGCUGCUGCCUGUAUCAGUCAGGAUUCAACCAGAGAAACAGAGCCACUACGAGUGAUUAAGAAAACAUGGAAUUUAUUAUUAGGCACUAGGCCUCCCUUGACCAAUAUUGUAGCCAUUAGCCACAUCUGGCUAUUUAAAUUUAAAUUAAUUAACAUUAAAUAAGAGUAACAACUUAGCUCCUCUACAGCACUGGGCACAUUUCAAAUGCUCAAUAGCCACGUGUGACUUGUGGGUAUCAUAUUGGGCAGCUCAGGUGCCCAAUAAAACACUUCCAUCAUCACAGAAAGUUCUACUGGACAGUGCUGCCCUAGACCUUGCAGGAUGUGAGACCUGGUGGAGGAGUCCUGGCAUGGCUGUUUGUUGUCUUCGGUUCUAGUGUUGAGUCUGAAGUCACUAUAGGUCAGUCAGGAUUUCAGUCAGGGCAGAAAGUUGGAUGUGGAUGAUAGCAAGAACAGACUGGAAUCUGUGAGAACAAACUGAAAUUCAUGAAUGACUGAAGUCCUUUAGGACAGACCGGAUCUGCCUGUGUCUCUCACUGUCUCCAGCCUCAAUAAUACAGGUGUCCUGCAAAACAUGCUGGCACCCUUUACCGAGCUACAGAUGCACUUGGCUUAGGACUUGAAGAAGCCAUAGGAGGAGAUCUGGUGGGAGCAGGAGGAACUGUGAGUCUUGCUGCCCCAUGCCAGCAAGGUGAGGCAGCAGGUCAGCGACAAUGCGUGAGAACUGCCAAUGUUCCUCACGCCUUGUGUUGUCCUUCACAGCAUAAAAACCAUGGCUGCUGCUUGGUUGCUGCCUCCCAGAUCUCAUGCAAUAUUUCCCUUGUGGCCAAUGCUAACCUGGAACUAUGGGAGGAUUCUGCGUAACAGAUGCUGCUUAGCUGGACCAACACAAUACGAAGCCAACUACUGUCCCACGGGUCUAGGCAUCAAGUCUACAUGGAAGCCAGGGGCAAAGGAGAGACAGUGCUGGUGAGCUUGCUCUCUCUUGUGCCUGUUUCUUCCAUCAGGAAAGCAAAAGGCUUUCUAGAAGCAUCCAGAUAGACUUCCCUCUGUCUUUUUAGCCAGAAUUUGGUCAUAUUGUCAUCCCUUAACUCCAAAAAAGGCCUACAGAGGGGAUGUUGGGUUUUUCCAGCCUCUUCUAGAAUAGAAGCAGGGAAGGGAGAGGGGCUGGGAAUGGCUAUUGAGUUAGUCACCCAAAGAUGCCUACUGCAGAUCUGCAUGGUGCAUUCCCCAUCACUCCCCUACUGAUAGCUAGAGAAGAAGCUCAAGAACGCCUAUUCCAAAUCCUUCAUUUGCAUGUGAAGAAAUGGAGGCAUUGAAAGGUUAAGUGGCUUACUCAAGGACACACAGAGUUAGUGCAAUAUAUCUGGGAGUAUGGUAGCAAACCAUCUUAUUUAUUCUCCAGGCCACUAUAUAUUGCACAUACUGUCCAUUAAAAGCCAGAAAGAAGUACAUGGCAAGAUGCUCAUCCUCAGCACUAGAACCAAAUCACUCAGAAAAAUUUGAGUCUUACUUUUUGUCUGAUGGUAAAGAUUGGUAAAGUUUGGAAAGAUUACGCACACCCAGUAUAAUCAGACAUAGAGAAAUGGGUCCGUUGUUGGUGACAGUAUGAGUGCAAUAUUUAUAUGCAUAAGGAUUUGCAUAGAACAGCAUCUAUAAGGAUGUUCAACAAAAUAUUAAUAGUAAUUAAGUAGUACUUUCUUCUUUAUACCUGUCUGUUUUGGUUGAUUUUUCUGUAAGUAUGUAUUACCUUUAUAUUAGAAUGCAAGGAAGCUGAUUUUUGAUUAGAAAAAACAUUAUCAUCAUUGGAGGACAUAGUCUUCCUACUUAGUAGAAGGCGGGGACUUAGAUGUUAAUGAUUUAAAUUCUCUUCCAGUUCUACUCUUUAAUGAGUGGGCAGGUCAUGCCAGCUGUUUGAAGCCAAUCAAGAGGAUUGGAGAUACUAUUCUUAUGCUUUUCACAAGGGUUUUACAACUGUCAUGCUUACUUGAAGAUUGGAAACCAUUACAUAUGAUGUGUCGUUUCUAUCAAAAUAAUACCUUCCUUCACCUCAAGCAACUACUUCGACAUUAGAUUAUUGUCAUCCCCGAAUGUCAUUGCUUAAUCCAGUUCUGACACUAGCAUUGCCAGGAAGUUCCUUUUUCCUAAAGGUGGUAACUAGUCCACCAAAAUGUCAAAAAAAAAAAAAAAA